rnacentral:rRNA from 1 species
UACGUAGGGUGCGAGCGUUGUCCGGAAUUACUGGGCGUAAAGAGCUCGUAGGUGGUUUGUCGCGUUGUCCGUGAAGUUCCCUGGCUUAACUAGGGGCGUGCGGGCGAUACGGGCAGACUGGAGUACUGCAGGGGAGACUGGAAUUCCUGGUGUAGCGGUGGAAUGCGCAGAUAUCAGGAGGAACACCGGUGGCGAAGGCGGGUCUCUGGGCAGUAACUGACGCUGAGGAGCGAAAGCGUGGGGAGCGAACAGG